CACGUAGGCACCAAGCGUUGUCCGGAUUUAUUGGGCGUAAAGAGCUCGUAGGCGGUUCGGUAAGUCGGGUGUGAAAACUUUGGGCUUAACCCAAAGACUGCACUCGAUACUGCUGUGCCUUGAGUCCGGUAGGGGAGUGGGGAAUUCCUGGUGUAGCGGUGGAAUGCGCAGAUAUCAGGAGGAACACCGGUGGCGAAGGCGCCACGCUGGGCCGGUACUGACGCUGAGGAGCGAAAGCGUGGGGAGCGAACAGG
rnacentral:rRNA from 1 species